UUGCUAGAAUAGGGAUAUUUUCAGUGUC
rnacentral:piRNA from 2 species